GAGGAAGUUUUAUUUUGUCCUCAGUUGGAUGUCAGCUGAUCCGGUUGAUACCUGAAAGCUCUGGGAAGAUUCACCAGCACACCUUGCCCCAGGGGCAUGGCAUGCUCUCAGGAAUCGGUCGCCGUGUUUCUUCCCUUUUCGGAAUUUUGUCUCCAAGUAGUGACCUCAUGUUGGCUGGUGUUCUUUGGGACAAAGGAAACUCGAGCUUCUAUAGUCUGACAAACUCAAACAUCAGUAAAUGGGAAUUGGAUGACUCCUCAGAGAAACUAGCACACACUUGGGAUGUACAUCGAGCUCUAAAGGAAAACAUCACUGAUGCUAUUUGGGGAUCUGAAAGCAACUAUGAAGCUAUUAAAGAAGGAGUCAACAUUCGCUAUUUGGACUUGAAACAAAACUG